CAACUGUGACAUAAUUCUCAGUUAUGUAUUAAUAAUCAAGAAAGUACAAAAGGUCCCUCCCUUAAUCACCCAUUUAACAAAACUUGUAUUCUCUUUUCUUUUAUCGUUAUUUGUUCCAAGAGAAUCGAAUCGACUCUAGAAAAAAUGGUUCAGAUUCUGAUUCCUUGUCAUUGUUAUUAUCCGAUUCUCAGUCUUUUGCUGAUUUGUUUCUCUUCCACUUGGCGCUGUUUUUCGCUUGGUGAGCUAAAUACGAAUAACACUUUCUCUGUAUCUAAUUUUAGAUACCCUGAAACGUGGCUCCGACCAUUUGAUUCGCGUUAUAUCAGAGUUGAUUUGCCACCAUGGUUCUCCUCAUUAUCUAUACGGUUGGAAUCAAACGUAAACCUUGAUUUCAAUAAAAUAUUCAAGGUUCCUAUCAGCGCUCUGCCUUUGAUUUGCCUGAGAGAUGGCAGUCUCCCUCUGCCAGAUGUUUCAGAGAUUACUCUAAAAGGUUUAUGUUCCCCCUCUAAUGGAUCUUCCAAGGUGUUUGAAGAUCUUGAGAAUGUGGAGCAAUGUUUUCCAAUGCAGGAAAAUAUAUCAGUGAAGUUGACAAAUGAGCAGAUAUCUCCAGGAGUUUGGUAUCUUGGCCUUUUCAAUGGCAUUGGAGAUACAAGGACACAAUCAAAGAUGAUUGUUCGAGGCCCGACAUACGCUUUCAUUGCCAACAUUAGUGUAGAAGGAUGUACAACCUCAACAAUAUGGGGCCAAUUCUGCAACCAGACAGUCAACCCUCUAUCGUGUGUUCAAUCUGACAGUUAUAAUCUGAAUGGAAACUUUUCUGAUAGUAAGGUGAACAACAGGACAACUGAAAAUGUGGUUUCUUGCAGAAACUCUUUUGACUCUCCUUGCCAUGGAAUUGGUGAAACUAAUGUAUACUCCUUGGAUGUGGUGGGAAUCACAGAACAAUUGACCAUUAUGGCUUUGAAUGUCAGUUUCAAUAUGACACCUUCAAUUAACACGGUAAAUGUUAGUGGAACUAACAUAAUGUGUUUUGCUCGUCAUGGUGCACUACCUUCAUCAACCUUAUAUGAUUUUUCGGGUGAUAUACAAACAGACCCACUCACUAUUCCCUCACCUAAGGUUGGUCGCUGGUAUAUUACUGUUAUACCUGCUAACCUUUCUAAGGAACUUGGAGAGAUUCAUAAUACUAAUGCACAAGUUUGCUAUUCUUUGGAAUGGCAAGUACUUGAAUGUCCCUUGGGGAAGGCAGGAUCAAAUUGUAUGUGGGAAAGUUAUAAUCUUCAGACAGGAAUCAGGAGAGAUUCAUUCCUAUUUGAAUCCAGUUAUGUACCGGUCAGUGGAAAAGUGCCUGCAGAUUCUGCUGAUUUUCCUCUUGAACCUCUAUUAAGCAAUUCAUCUUAUGGUGGAGAAUCAGAUGAUAUUUGGACUUAUUUUCUCAUGGAUGUUCCUGUUGGCGCAGCUGGAGGAAAUAUCCACAUCCAACUGACAUCAGAUACAAAGAUGAAAUAUGAAAUAUAUGCUAAAUUUGGAGGAUUACCAUCUCUUCAGAGCUGGGAUUAUUACUAUGCAAACAGAACAAAUAGCAGUAUCGGCUGCAUGUUCUUCAAGUUGUAUAAUUCAAGUGAAGAAAAGGUUGAUUUUUAUAUCUUAUAUGCUAGAGAAGGAACUUGGGGCUUUGGAAUAAGACAUGUCAAUACCUCUAGUAGUAAGACUACCAUGUCUAUUUCCUUUGAAAGGUGCCCAAGAAGAUGCUCAUCUCAUGGGCAAUGCACAUAUGAUUUUGAUGCUAGUGGAUUAACGUCAUACAGCUACUGCUCCUGUGAUCGUGACUAUGGUGGCUUUGACUGCAGUGUUGAAAUUGUGUCUCAUCAAGGGCACAUAUGGCAAUCAAUUGCUCUCAUUGCAUCAAAUGCUGCAGCUCUACUUCCUGCCUAUUGUUCUCUCCGACGGAAGGCAUUUGCAGAAUGGGUACUCUUCACAUCUAGUGGUAUUUCAAGUGCAUUAUAUCAUGCAUGUGACGUUGGCACCUGGUGUGCAUUGUCCUACAAUGUCUUACAGUUCAUGGACUUCUGGCUCUCUUUCAUGGCUGUGGUGAGCACUUUUGUGUAUCUAACUACUGUAGAUGAAGCUUUUAAAAGGACAAUUCACACGGCAGUAGCUAUCCUUACAGCCCUUCUUGCUUUAACAAAGGCAACAAGUCUGCAGGUCUUCCAAUAUUAUUCUUGUGAUAGCAAUUGGGACAUUUGGUCUUCUUGUUGGAUGGGUGGUGGAACUCUCUACGAAGUUUAGGUUGUUUUCCUUUUCAAUUGGAUCUUGUAGGAACGUGCUGGACAGGCAACAAACUGUUACACAAUGGGUUUGUAAUUUAAUCAAGACAUUGUUACUACAGUUUCGAUGGCCAGUUGUCCUAGCAGGUUUCACAGCACUAGCAAUGGCAGCAAUAAGUUGGAAGUUAGAGAGCAGUGAAAAUUACUGGAUUUGGCACAGCAUUUGGCAUGUCACCAUGUACACAUCAUCCUUCUUCUUCCUUUGUUCAAAAAAAAUUGAUAACGUAAAUAGUGAGGUACAAAGGCCAGGAGGAGAAACAAGCUAUCAGUUAACUCGCCAGAAUUCAAUCCCAAGUAGUGAUAGGAGGGAAGGAAGAGGCUGAAAGUUUUGCAGAUUUAGCUCGAAAGAAACGGUAAUUUCUUUAGGCAUGCAGGGAUUAAAAAAAAAAAAAACCGUUUAGCUGCCUAUACCAUAUGACCUUUCAACCGUUUGAUCUGAAGAAGAUAAUUGUAGUAUCAUAAGUACAUUUGUAAAUUCCUCAGACAGAAGCAGUUUGUUGUGGGUUCAUCGUGAUGUCAGUUUGAGGGGGAUGGUAGUCAUUUAAGUUAAAUAUUUAUUCAGAUAUAGGUAGGGGAAAGAGAGUAAGGCGAGGCCAAGUAUAGACAGAAAGUUUUUCAUAUAAGCCGAAGGGGCAGAGCAGGACAUAAUGGCCGGCAAAGAUAUGUUCAAUUGAAAUUUGUAAAGGGUGUUUUUGUAUUCAUCCAGAAACAGUUGAGAUUUGACUGCUUAGAUUCUUGAA